AUCCGCCCGCAGCAGGACUUAGGAAAGGACACCUCGAGGCGCACGGCGACUCCAUACAUGGCUAGCGUCUGAUCUCCCUGGCCUGCCCUCCAGGGAGAGGAUACAGAUGUUCCCAUGACUUUCCCUAGGAAGCCAGAAACACGAGAGCACCUGAAGACAGUGUAGGUAGCACGGUAAACAUCCCCACUGCUGUCAACA